ACCUGUUUCAAAAUUUAAAAAAUAAAAAGUGGGCUGGGAAUACAGCUUAGUGGCAGAAUAAAAAUUAUUUUUAAAGUUUACUAUCUUAAAGUCAUUCAAAAUCUUUUGAGAAAAAAAUUUUAAACUGUUUUGUAUCGCCUUAUCAUCCAUCACCUAUUGAUUCCAUUAUGGAGAUUAAUUCUAAAAGAAUUAGAAAAGUAGAUAAUGAUAACAUCUACUUUUGUAUUUGUCUUAGUCACUUUCUUUUGUUAAGACACAAUCUCCAACAUCCACAACUUAAGGAAGCAGAGGUUUAUUUUGGCUCACAGUCUAUAGAAGUUUCAGUCCACAGUCCAUUGGCUCCAAAGAAAGUCGGCAUGGCAGAAAGGCAUAGCAGAAGAGAACUGCUCAAAAUGGCCAGAAAGCAGAGAAAAUAAGUCAAUGCUGAAUAGUAAAAUACUGGAUUGAAGAAGGAGGACUGGAAUACUAGGCCUACCUGGAAUGGGAAGUAAAUGGAAGCAAAGAUGCUGAGAUUUAUGGUUCUUCAACACCAAAAACUAUGUCAGAACUUUCACUAUUGCUACAGUGGCCCUGGGCAAACUUCAAAUGAAAGCAGUCUUUCUGACUUUCUGCCUCCUGUCUUCACACUUCUUCAGACUCAGAUGCCAACAUUCCUGGAGGACUGUUCCCAACUAUUUUUUUAUCAGAUUACUGAUACUAAGUACUAAUACCAAAGUUAUCACCUCACAGAUUACUUGCCAAACGCAAAAAGAAAUCUGUAAUGGAAAGCCUGUCCCCAUCUUACCAAAGAGAUCAAAUUUAGGGUUACUAAUAGACAACUCUGCUUUAUGUAUUUUCUCAUGUUGGGUACUAUGAAGAACACUAAAUCCACACCUCAAUCUACUUAAGACUCUCCCUCUCAACUUCAAGUUUACAGAAAAAUACAAGGGAUAGCAGGAAGAAUUUAAACAUGAAGAGGAACUACCACUAAAUACUGUAUAGAAUGUGGGUUCUUCUACAAGAUUAAUGACUUAAUCUCUUUAAAAGGUUGUCAUUUUUAAAAAAAGGAAGGAAGGAAAAGAAAAAAGAUUAAAUUAAAAGAGACCAAGACAAACAAAUGUAAUAAAAGCUCCAGGUUCUAAAGUGAGUAAAAAUGACUUUUUGUGGA